rnacentral:rRNA from 1 species
GACGAACGCUGGCGGCGUGCUUAACACAUGCAAGUCGAACGGAAAGGCCCUGCUUUUGUGGGGUGCUCGAGUGGCGAACGGGUGAGUAACACGUGAGUAACCUGCCCUUGACUUUGGGAUAACUUCAGGAAACUGGGGCUAAUACCGGAUAGGAGCUCCUGCUGCAUGGUGGGGGUUGGAAAGUUUCGGCGAUUGGGGAUGGACUCGCGGCUUAUCAGCUUGUUGGUGGGGUAGUGGCUUACCAAGGCUUUGACGGGUAGCCGGCCUGAGAGGGUGACCGGCCACAUUGGGACUGAGAUACGGCCCAGACUCCUACGGGAGGCAGCUGUGGGGAAUAUUGCACAAUGGGCGGAAGCCUGAUGCAGCAACGCCGCGUGCGGGAUGACGGCCUUCGGGUUGUAAACCGCUUUCGCCUGUGACGAAGCGUGAGUGACGGUAAUGGGUAAAGAAGCACCGGCUAACUACGUG